GGCCCAGUGGCUCAGUUGGUUAGAGCGCCGCCCUGUCACGGCGGAGGGCGAGAGGUCGAGUCUCUUCUGGGUCG
rnacentral:tRNA from 1 species